CUUGCCCAUAGAGGCAUUGCUGCUAUCGCUGCUGUAUCCCAUGUGUGUCAGUAGGUGGCAGAGUCGAGACAGGCUGUAUCUAUGCUCAUUGUUCUGACCUGGGAUGUCCCCCCAAAGAAGGCCAGCCUAAGACA
ensembl:snoRNA Gm24433 small nucleolar RNA SNORA17